GGCUAAUACCGGAUGGGUCAUCGGACCGCAUGGUCCGAGGAUGAAAGGCGCUUCGGCGUCGCCUGGGGAUGGCUUUGCGGUGCAUUAGCUAGUUGGUGGGGUAAUGGCCCACCAAGGCGACGAUGCAUAGCCGACCUGAGAGGGUGAUCGGCCACACUGGGACUGAGACACGGCCCAGACUCCUACGGGAGGCAGCAGUAGGGAAUCUUCCACAAUGGACGAAAGUCUGAUGGAGCAACGCCGCGUGAACGAUGAAGGCCUUCGGGUCGUAAAGUUCUGUUGUAAGGGAAGAACAAGUGCCGCAGGCAAUGGCGGCACCUUGACGGUACCUUGCGAGAAAGCCACGGCUAACUACGUGCCAGCAGCCGCGGUAAUACGUAGGUGGCAAGCGUUGUCCGGAAUUAUUGGGCGUAAAGCGCGCGCAGGCGGCCUCUUAAGUCUGAUGUGAAAGCCCCCGGCUCAACCGGGGAGGGCCAUUGGAAACUGGGAGGCUUGAGUAUAGGAGAGAAGAGUGGAAUUCCACGUGUAGCGGUGAAAUGCGUAGAGAUGUGGAGGAACACCAGUGGCGAAGGCGACUCUUUGGCCUAUAACUGACGCUG
rnacentral:rRNA from 1 species